rnacentral:rRNA from 1 species
GACGAACGCUGGCGGCGUGCUUAACACAUGCAAGUCGAACGGAAAGUCCCUGCUUUUGUGUUGUGCUCGAGUGGCGAACGGGUUAGUAACACAUGAGUAACCUGCCCUUGACUUUGGGAUAACUUCAGGAAACUGGGGCUAAUACCGGAUAGGAGCUCCUGCUGCAUGUUGGGGGUUGGAAAGUUUCUGCGGUUGGGGAUGGACUCGCGGCUUAUCAGCUUGUUGGUGGGGUAGUGGCUUACCAAGGCUUUGACGGGUAGCCGGCCUGAGAGGGUGACCGGCCACAUUGGGACUGAGAUACGGCCCAGACUCCUACGGGAGGCAGCAGUGGGGAAUAUUGCACAAUGGGCGGAAGCCUGAUGCAGCAACGCCGCGUGCGGGAUGACGGCCUUCGGGUCGUAAACCGAUUUCGCCUGUGACGAAGCGUGAGUGACGGUAAUGGGUAAAGAAGCACCGGCUAACUACGUG